rnacentral:lncRNA from 1 species
AUGCUGGGUCAGAGACAGAGCAGCAGAGGUAGAGGGACAAAGGGAGAGGUGAAGAGCAGAACCAGUAGAGGAGAGGGUAGCAGGUGGCGCCAUUCUUCUUUACAGGGACAGAAGCUAAGCUACCCCGGACAGAGCCAGUUUGUUUUGGGACACCAGCUUGUUGCUGAGAGGAUACCUGUCACCUCCAGGGAGGCAGCUCAAGCUGCUGCUCUGCCAAUUUGGAAAGCCUGAAGGCCAGGGACAGACGGUUCCUCCUGCCCUGACAUGACCUCCUGAAGAUCCUGAUAGGUGGGAACCCACGGUUAGGAUCUUAUUUCCUUGUUCUUGGAUUGUGGAAACCCCUCACCAGCAGCCAGAUAUCCAUAGCAGAGAAAAAAGAGACCAAGAGAGAAGCAAAUAGAGCAGAAGAAGCGGGAGAUACAGAUAGACACAGAAGCCCUGAGAUGGAGGAAAACCAAUUCAGAAGAGCCAGAGACAAAGAUUAGAGAGCUAGAGAGAGACAGAGACACAGGAAGGGGAGAGGGGAGACAGGAAAGGCAAAGAGGCA